AUUGAACGCUGGCGGCAUGCCUUACACAUGCAAGUCGAACGGCAGCGGACCUUCGGGUGCCGGCGAGUGGCGAACGGGUGAGUAAUAUAUCGGAACGUACCUUUCAGUGGGGGAUAACGUAGCGAAAGUUACGCUAAUACCGCAUAUUCUGUGAGCAGGAAAGCAGGGGAUCGCAAGACCUUGCGCUGAUUGAGCGGCCGAUAUCAGAUUAGCUAGUUGGUGAGGUAAAGGCUCACCAAGGCGACGAUCUGUAGCGGGUCUGAGAGGAUGAUCCGCCACACUGGAACUGAGACACGGUCCAGAUUCCUACGGGAGGCAGCAGUGGGAAUUUUGGACAAUGGGCGCAAGCCUGAUCCAGCCAUGCCGCGUGAGUGAAGAAGGCCUCGGU
rnacentral:rRNA from 1 species